UGCUAUUACUUAGACGCGAGAACCAGUGACACCAUAUGCUCAUACCAAAUUCAAACUCCACAAAUUGAAACACAUAACACUCAGGAUUGAAGUCAAAGGUUGUAACGGGCUUGGGGUGUUGGCUAACAAAUGAAGGAUAGGGAUAACAAACGUUCUUAAAGCAAUAGCAAGAAAAGUAAUGAAAUGGAAACUUAGAAUUCACUUAGAUUGCAGUAAUCAACUUUUAAACACGAAGGGAAGAUUCAAGCAAUAUUUAGGGCCGAAUUCAAUGUUUUGGACCCUUUCUUCAACAAGCAACACUUUAAAACUCUUUUUUCACAUAUUUUUCAACUCCUUUUCUUUUCACAGCUCUUCUUCUUUUCAUUCUAUUUUUCACGAAUCUUUCUUUUCUACUCGUGCCUUAUGAAUGAUUUUGGCAUACACACACACACACAAGAAUCACUUCCCCCACACUUGUUUUCUGCCAUACAUUAAUCAAAAGGAAUUCAAUUUGACUCAUACUUCACUAUGCUUCAAGAACAAGGGUGGAUGGUCCUAAACUAGGAUAGGUAAGGAUAAUGUGGUUUAACAAAGAAUGUAGGCUAUCAAGGCUCAAUGGGGUUAACUUAAACAUAUAACG
rnacentral:lncRNA from 1 species